rnacentral:rRNA from 1 species
AUACGGGGGGUGCAAGCGUUAGUCGGAAUUACUGGGCGUAAAGCGCGCGUAGGCGGUUUGCUCAGUCGGAUGUGAAAGCCCAGGGCUCAACCUUGGAACUGCAUACGAUACUGGCAAACUAGAGUGUGAGAGAGGAUAGUGGAAUUUCCGGUGUAGCGGUGAAAUGCGUAGAUAUCGGAAGGAACAUCAGUGGCGAAGGCGACUGUCUGGCUCAACACUGACGCUGAGGUGCGAAAGCGUGGGUAGCAAACAGGAUUAGAAACCCCAGUAGUCC